GUCCUCUUGGUUUUGUAGGAGGUUUGACCUGCCCGGUGAUGUUUUAACGGCCGCGGUAUUCUGACCGUGCAAAGGUAGCAUAAUCAUUAGUCUUUUAAUAGGGGGCUGGAAUGAAGGGUUUGACGAGGUAAUAACUGUCUCAUUUAAAUAGACUAAAAUUUAACUUUUAAGUUAAAAGGCUUAGAUGUUGUUGGAAGACGAGAAGACCCUAUAGAGCUUUACGUUUAUGUUUUUGAUUUAAAAUAGACCAUUAAUAAAAAUUAUUAUAUAUAAGUGUUUUGUUGGGGUGACAAAAAUAUUUAAUUAACUUUUAUAUUUGUUUUACAUUAAUUUAUGAUUGUUAGAUCCAUUAUUAUUGAUUAUUAGAAUAAGUUACCUUAGGGAUAACAGCGUAAUCCUCUUUUGGAGUUCAAAUUUACAAGGGGGCUUGCGACCUCGAUGUUGGAUUAAGAUAAUAGUUAGGUGUAGCAGCUUAAUAUAUGGGUCUGUUCGACCUUUAAAUUCUUACAUGAUCUGAGUUCAGACCGG
rnacentral:rRNA from 1 species